rnacentral:tRNA from 1 species
UGGGGAGUGGUGUAACUGGCUAGCACAGGAGCCUUUGGAGCUCCGGGUCGGGGUUCGAGCCCUCGCUCCCCAG